UGUGAUGAGCAUAGACAAGC
rnacentral:snRNA from 1 species